UGGAAUCCGGAUGUGGCUGUAUUAGUUGCCUGGAUACUGGAGGGAGGGGAUAUCUCUUCAGGACAAAAUGGUUGCCCAGGUCCCAGGCUCAGGCAUGACUCAGCACCAAACUCGCUGCCACUUCUCCUGGAUUCCCCUCUCUCCCCAGAUUUCACAAUUCUGCACCUUCUCCCACACUCCAGCCACGGCCAGCAGUGCUGCCAGUUCAGUCCCACAUCCCACUAGACAGCCUCUGGCCAGGAAAGGAGGCUAGCACAGAAAAUUCCUUCCCAAAACCAACACAUCUGGCAGUUUGAAAUAUCUGCUAGGAUACUAUUUAAGUUGUAUACAUCUGGGAGAAACCAAGAUGGUGGCAUAGGUAAACACCGGAGUUUGCUGCCUCGAACAACCACUUCAAAAAUACAACUAAAAGACA